rnacentral:tRNA from 1 species
AUUCCUAUCGAACAAUGGUUAGUUCGCUGGACUUUCACUCCAGAAAUCUCGGUUCAAAUCCGUGUAGGAAUA